AGGGUUCGAUUCUGGCUCAGGAUGAACGCUGGCGGCGUGCUUAACACAUGCAAGUCGAACGGGCCUAAGACUGAAGCUUGCUUAGUUUAGGUAGUGGCGGACGGGUGAGUAACGCGUGGGUAACCUACCCUGUGCAGGGGGAUAGCAGCUGGAAACGGCUGAUAAAACCGCAUAACACGGCAAGAUCGCAUGAUGAUGCCGUCAAAUAUUUAUAGGCACAGGGAUGGGCCCGCGUCUGAUUAGCUAGUUGCGGGGCAACGGCCACCAAGGCGACGAUCAGUAGCCGGCCUGAGAGGGUGAACGGCCACAUUGGGACUGAGACACGGCCCAAACUCCUACGGGAGGCAGCAGUGGGGAAUAUUGGACGAAUGGGGGGAACCCUGAUCCAGGCGACGCCCGCGUGAGUGAAGAAGUAUUUCGGUAUGUAAAGCUCUAUCAGCAGGGAAGAUGAUGACGGUACCUGACUAAGAAGCACCGGCUAAAUACCGUGCCAGCAGCUGC
rnacentral:rRNA from 1 species